UUCUAUGGUUAGUUUUGCAGGUUUGCAUCCAGCUGUGUGAUAUUCUGCUGUGCAAAUCCAUGCAAAACUGACUGUGG
ensembl:miRNA MIR19B1 microRNA 19b-1